AACAACAACAAAGGACAGGCAUGGACCACAGAAUACCCUAUUUGCUAUUACAAACACAGCCUGCUGCAAUACCUUAACCCUAUUUGAGGGUCCCAUUUGGGAUUCUCGGUCAGAAUCAUACACUCACCAUCAUGUGGCACCAGCGACAGAACUUCUGUGUACCUGCUGCAAAUGACUUGAUUAUUGAGACAGCCAGGGCAGACAGCCUAGCUGGCAGUGAGGCAGUGAGGCAGCGAGGCGAUAAAUGCAUUGAAAGCUUCACAGCUACUUGGCUCCGAUGCUCACACACACACACACACACAGACAUGCUCACGCACACACACUCAACUCAUACUCACCUAGAAGGACGAGCAGCGGUAUGGUUGUCAUGCCGCCACGUUGCCAUUCUUCCAAGGACACUGUGCCAUCGGCAUCAUAGUCAAUUUCAACCAUCAUAUCUUGCAGUAUCUGUAAAAGUAACAAAAAAAGAAUCGUGUAAAAAUGGGCUCGAGGUGGAAUUUUCGUUGCUGUAUGACAUCCUGAUUGACAUUCUGCGGUAGAGUAAGUCAGAUAAAGGCAAUUUUACUUUGUGACUUUCGGCUUUUACCUUUGACUGCAACGGAGUUGGGGAGCGCGUAAUUCGAGCAAAAUUUAUACAGGAAAUAUAAUAAAGACUUGACGAAAUAUAAUAAA